rnacentral:rRNA from 1 species
AGUGGGGAAUAUUGGACAAUGGGCGAAAGCCUGAUCCAGCAAUGCCGCGUGAGUGAUGAAGGCCUUAGGGUUGUAAAGCUCUUUUACCCGGGAUGAUAAUGACAGUACCGGGAGAAUAAGCCCCGGCUAACUCCGUGCCAGCAGCCGCGGUAAUACGGAGGGGGCUAGCGUUGUUCGGAAUUACUGGGCGUAAAGCGCACGUAGGCGGCUUUGUAAGUUAGAGGUGAAAGCCCAGGGCUCAACCCUGGAACUGCCUUUAAGACUGCAUCGCUUGAACAUCGGAGAGGUAAGUGGAAUUCCGAGUGUAGAGGUGAAAUUCGUAGAUAUUCGGAAGAACACCAGUGGCGAAGGCGACUUACUGGACGAUUGUUGACGCUGAGGUGCGAAAGCGUGGGGAGCAAA